rnacentral:lncRNA from 1 species
CCCAGAUCCAGUGUAUCUUUACUCUGAAGUGUUCACUCUCAGGGAAGCAGUUCAAUUAAUGAUAGAAUAUAAGUUGAACCUGGAAACACUAUAAUACUGCCUUCUUGUGAAUAUUGUCUCCCAAAGUUAGAAAUUACUUUUUAAUGAGGAACUUGUUCUCAAAGCUGCUGGAACUUUUCAUAGAGUAAGACAUUACUUUUCAAUUUUCUUUCUGUCUUACAGGAAGUAAACUAUUAGAUCACUUCAAAGACUGUAAUUUGAAAGAAGAAAAAGAAACAGGAUAUAUGUAUUUUUGUCCCAACAACAAGAGAAAAGUUACUAACAUACUACUGUAGCAGCUUUUUAGGACUGAAUUCAGUUACAGUACUGGUGUCUGAUGAAGAGUUACUGACCUGCAGGGAAACUGUGUACCUUAUUACAGGUACAGGAAAUGAACAGAGAAGGGAGAAUUUUUCUCUAUCAAUAAACAAAACAGAAAUACCAUACUUCAGAAAAUAUGUUUUGUCUUUCUCAGAUAGCUGAAAUGUACACAAUGCAAUUCUCCUUUUUUGAUUACUAAGAUGCAAUACUUUGUUAUUGAUUGUAGUGUGAAAUAUGUAAUGUAUCGUGUUCAAGGAACACAAUUGAAAAUGCCUUCUCUAUUCACAAUAACACAACUGUAAAUAAAUAUUUUACAUUUCAAUUGUCUAUUCUAAAGCUAUGCAUCCUCAAGCUUGAA